rnacentral:misc_RNA from 1 species
GAUGAAGAACGUAGCGAAAUGCGAUAAGUAUUGUGAAUUGCAGAAUUCAGUGAAUCAUCGAAUCUUUGAACGCACAUUGCGCCCGCCAGUAUUCUGGCGGGCAUGCCUGUUCGAGCGUCAUUACAACCCUCAGGCCCCCGGGCCUGGCGUUGGGGAUCGGCGGAAGCCCCCUGUGGGCACACGCCGUCCCUCAAAUACAGUGGCGGUCCCGCCGCAGCUUCCAUUGCGUAGUAGCUAACACCUCGCAACUGGAGAGCGGCGCGGCCAUGCCGUAAAACACCCAACUUCUGAAUGUUGACCUCGAAUCAGGUAGGAAUACCCGCUGAACUUAAGCAUAUCAAUAAGCGGAGGA